UACCAUAUCCCUCUGUAACAGAAAGCGAACUCAACCAUUGCACGAAAACACACACGUUUGGCGUGAUACAGAGGACGUCGUCGUUUUAAGAAUCGUAACUACAUCUUCAGUGCUUCACACGCAACGACUUAAUGUCAUGGUGAGGAGGAAGGAGUGAUAAAGAAACUACUAAAUCAGUGGCGUAUACUGAAAACGACAACGAAAUGGAGUGCGUUGCAGCGAGAAACUUGGCGGCAAUGGCGUUUUGCGUGAGUCCUUCGUCGAGGUUGAGGUUGCGGAAGAAGAUGUGGAGAAGAAGAACCGCGUCUGGCGGCCACGGCGUUCGGUGGCGCUCGCGGUUGCUGAAGGUGGAGGCGAAGGCAGGGAGCGAGAGUUGCGUGGCGACCAAAGAAGACUUCGCCGAUGAGGACGAUUACGUGAAGGCCGGAGGCUCCGAACUUGUUUUCGUACAAAUGCAACAGAACAAAGCCAUGGAAAUGCAAUCCAAGAUCGUGGAUAAGUUGCGCCCCAUAGGAGAUGAUAUACUAGAUCUAGUUGUGAUUGGUUGUGGUCCGGCUGGUCUUGCUCUGGCUGCUGAAUCAGCCAAGUUGGGACUAAAAGUUGGGCUUAUUGGCCCGGAUCUUCCUUUUACAAAUAAUUAUGGUGUGUGGGAGGACGAAUUUAGAGGUCUCGGACUUGAAGGUUGCAUUGAACAUGUUUGGAAGGAUACCGUUGUCUAUCUCGACAAUGAGGAUCCCGUUUUCAUUGGACGUUCCUAUGGACGUGUCAGUCGGCAUCUGCUUCAUGAGGAAUUGUUAAGCAGGUGUGUCGAGUCAGGUGUCACAUAUCUUAGCUCAAGAGUAGAAAAUAUUAUUGAGGCGAGCAAUGGUCACAGUCAUGUCGUCUGUGAAUAUGAUAUUGUAGUGCCCAGCAGGCUUGUUACUGUUGCAUCAGGAGCUGCUUCGGGGAAACUGUUGCAAUAUGAGGUCGGGGGUCCAAAGGUUUCUGUUCAAACAGCUUAUGGUGUGGAAGUUGAGGUGGAAAACAAUCCUUAUGAUCCAAAUGUGAUGGUUUUCAUGGAUUACAGAGACUACAUGAAGCAAAAUGUUCAAGGUCUAGAAGCAAAUUAUCCAACAUUUCUAUAUGCAAUGCCCAUGUCCAGUACAAGAGUGUUUUUUGAGGAAACCUGUUUAGCGUCAAAAGAUGCGAUGCCUUUUGAUUUACUAAAGAAGAAGCUCUUUUCGAGAUUAAAUUCAAUGGGGAUCAGAAUCACUAAAACUUACGAAGAGGAAUGGUCUUAUAUCCCUGUUGGCGGAUCCUUACCAAACACAGAACAAAAGAACCUUGCAUUUGGUGCAGCUGCCAGCAUGGUGCAUCCAGCCACAGGGUACUCCGUUGUGAGAUCUUUGUCAGAAGCUCCAAAAUAUGCUUCAGUAAUUUCUAAUAUUUUGAAAGAUGGCCAUGCCAAGGACAAUAUUACCCAAGAAAGAAGAAAGGAGAAUUUGUCUAUGCAAGCUUGGAAUACACUUUGGCCACAAGAAAGGAAACGGCAGAGGGCAUUCUUUCUUUUUGGAUUAGCUCUAAUUGUGCAGCUGGACAUUGGGGGAAUUCGAACAUUCUUUCGUACUUUCUUCUGCCUACCUGAUUGGAUGUGGCAGGGAUUUCUUGGCUCCUCUCUCUCCUCUACAGAUCUUUUAUUAUUUGCUUUCUACAUGUUCAUAAUAGCACCAAAUAACUUGAGAAUGAGUCUAGUGAGACAUCUGCUUUCAGAUCCUACCGGUGCAACCAUGAUAAAGACUUACUUAGCGACUUUGCGAAACUCAAGUCGUUAAGCACGCCAGGCCCGUCUGAGGCUUCAGUUCAUCUCAUCAAGCUGAGUCACCCACAGCGCACAUCAUCUUCCUUUCUCAAGUAUGCAGGAUCAUCAGAGUAAAAUGGAGGAUAUCCAACUAGCAUUUCAUACAGUAUAGCACCAAGAGACCACCUGCAGCAAGUUAGAACUCUGUCAACAAGGAAGAUAUUUCAUCAUAAAGGAUGCCAUUUCUCUUUAAGCAAAUAUAAUUUACAUUGGAACCAUAGUUUUCUUCGGGUAAAAAGAACUAUAAACAAUAAUAGUGUAAGGUUAAAACCAGUAAAACAUUAUUUUUAAAUAAUAAAAUAGAUUAAUUACAAAAUGCUCUGCUAGUCUUCUCUUGAAGAACAGAAGAAUAUAUAGAAAAUAUAUUAUAAGCCAAACAGGAUCUAAAAUCAUUAUGCCUUUGAUAUAAGAUUUGGACAGUCAACUGCACAAGCACUGUCAUAACUGCAAUUAUAUGCCACCAUGUAGUAUCCUUUAAAGGAAUAUGUUAGGUUUCUGGGUAUGAAACCUAACUGUCUCACAGCACACACUCACACAAUAGCACCCAAAUGGUAAGAAAAGAAUGAAAAUAUGUAUUCACAUCAACCAAUGUCAUGUACAACCAGUAACUGGGAGCAUAAUCCCCCUCCACAGGAUCAAGGUUCAUGUCUAUACAACUGAUAUAAAAAACUGUCCUCUACCAGACCCCCCCUUGCCUUCUUAUAAAGGCAGCCCACUUCUAACUACCCAACAACAAUUAAUUCCUAAACUGAACAAUUAAUUCUUCAACUGUUUUUUCUCUCCUGCACACCUAUUACCCAUUAUAACCUAUCAUAUUAAAUCCUAUCAUUACACCCUGCUGCAAAACAACCUUGUCCUCAAGGUUGGUACAGUAAUGCUUGUUCCCAUGGCUCAUCUUCAUCAUAGGAAGGGAACCCACUGGCUGCUGCCUCCAAUUCAGGUCUGGAGGCUUGGGUGGUGGUCUAUAUGAAAGAAUUGUUGACUCCUAUAAGAGUUGCUUUUUUUCCAGAAUUCCCAUGGACCCUAUGAUUCUUCUAUAUUGCCUUCUGACCUGGUGGCCACUUACAUGGGCAUGGAUUUUAACUCUUUUCUGAUGAAUGAUCAAGAAUUCUUUUCUCUUCUUCCACCCCCAAAACCUUUUUUGUAUUUUUAUAGCAGCAGUACUAGCGAAGCCCUCUCCUUGCCCAAAUUUGUUCAUCCUAGAAGCUAAAAAGGAAAGAACUUGUUGAUCUGACCAUCCAAUUCCUUCAUCAUCAUCAUGUUGAGCUAACUGUUUCCUCUGAAUGUUAAAUUGCAGCCCUGCAAAGAAAUAUCUUUGCCAUUGGUCUUCUAGUGUUUUAUAUGUUUGUGACAACCAUAUUUUUUUCCCACUCAAGACAGCUGCAUCUUCUACUUUAUUUCCAGCCAUCAUAGUCACCAUGUUCCCACCAUAUUCUGCUUUCUUUCCUCUGUCUUCACCCUUCUUCACUGUUUUAUCAUACACAUCACAACCUACCCCACUAUCUCUCCUAGAAACGGCAGCUUCUGCCACUUCCUGGGUAACAACACCAACAAUGCCUCCAUCACAGUUUUUGUCUUCUGCACUGAUAUCUCUUUCUCUUUCCUUCCCAGAAAGAGCAGCUUUUGCCACUCCCUGAGUAGCAACACCAACAACUUUCUCAUCAGCAGCUUCUGUGAUUUUUGCAGUUUGGCCUAACUUUUCAAAAACAAAACCUCUAUCUCUUUCUCCGAACCCCCUUAUCAAUGCCUCUUUCAGCCCUUUCCAAGAAAGGUUCUUGGUUUUAUUUUUCCAGACCCUGAACCAAUAAAUUGUGCCUCCCUCCAUGCAACUGUAAGCCAACCUGAGCCUCUCCUUCUCUGUGAUAUUUGGGGUGUCAAAAAACUUCUCAACUUGAGAGAUCCAUCCCAACGGGUCCAACCCCUCAAACCUGGGCAAUUCUACCCGCUGCCUCCAAUUCUGCUGCCCUUUGCCCCUGUCUUCCUCCAGCUCUUCCUCUGAACCAUCUUUCUUUCCUCUCAUGAUAGCUUUCCCACUUCUUUCUGAGCCCAUUAUGUGAAUCUUGAUUUCCUGCAACAUUUCUUUUAUUUCUUGGAUAUCUCUCCUCCAUUCUGCCAUCCCCAUUUUCUGUUCACUGACCCUUCUCUCCAAGGUAUUGUCUCUUCCUUCCAUGCUUCCACCCUUUCUUGAUCACUUCUUGAUCCCUUCUUGAUCCGGCAGUCCCCUCCUAAGCGGAGCAACUUCUUGAUCCUUCACCCCCACUUUGAUCCGGCAGGUCGGACCAAAUUGUUAGGUUUCUGGGUAUGAAACCUAACUGUCUCACAGCACACACUCACACAAUAGCACCCCAAAUGGUAAGAAAAGAAUGAAAAUAUGUAUUCACAUCAACCAAUGUCAUGUACAACCAGUAACUGGGAGCAUAAUCCCCCUCCACAGGAUCAAGGUUCCUGUCUAUACAAUUGAUAUAAAAAACUGUCCUCUACCAGACCCCCCCUUGCCUUCUUAUAAAGGCAGCCCACUUCUAACUACCCAACAACAAUUAAUUCCUAAACUGAACAAUUAAUUCUUCAAGUGUUUUCUCUCUCCUGCACACCUAUUACCCAUUAUAACCUAUCAUAUUAAAUCCUAUCAGAAUAUGAUCAACUCAUUGGAUCUAUUAGAAAUAGACAAGGCCUGACCCAAUCUCAAAAUCCAACUUUAGGGAUAACUUGGCUAUAUUCUUGGCCCAUGUCCGACAUCUUGACAGGAUCAAAUAUAAAGUUAUAGAUGAAUAUUCUAAAAGGAUCUAUCUGGUGCUUCUAAUAAUUUGAAAUGGGUAACUCCAAAUUCAAGUUUACUGAUUGAAAUACGCACAUUAAAUCCAAAAUGUCAUGACAACUUAAAACUGGUCAGAGAAGUUCCCUUUCUCAACUAUUUUGACUUUAAAUAAGACUAGAAAAAAAGGGGCUACUAAACAAUUAAAGUUAUCAAAAUUUUACCCUACAUACAUCCUAAGGAGCUUCAUUGAUUGCACUCUGGUUUAAAUUUCUUCAAUUUGUUUAACUAUGCUACAUAGCAAAACAGUAUAGUGCUUGACACAUUUAGCUAUUCUAGAACAAUUUAUUCUAGGGUCUCUAAUGUCUGGAUAGAAAAUUUGGAACCUUGAGCUUUUAUACUACUCCUAAUCAUUCAAGAAAAAGAUAAAGCAAAGUGAUCGUGUGCAUUCACUUCAAAAUGACAAAACUAUUAUCACAGGAAAUGGAUAGAUGCAAUUCAAGUGACAGAAAAUGAAAAAUAUAAAAACAAACCAGUCACACUCCACACUGUAACCCUUUUUCAGUAAUACUUCAGGGGCAAUAUAGUCUGGAGUUCCAACAGUGGAAAAUGCCUGCCAUGAAACAAAUAGAUAAGCUGAAGAAGGAUAUGCAAUUGAAAUCAACAUUUCAUGCACCAAUGAGAUAACCAACAAUUACCACAAAUAUUCAUUGACCAUUAGUGAGAAACAUGACACGUCUAUGUAGUUAAAGAGCUAAGAAUUUUACCAUCUUAGUGCAAAGUAAACAAUUACAAACUUUUUCAUUCUUUACAUUGAUCUACAAUUCUACUUAUUGGACUAAGUUCUUCAAGAAUGUUGCUGCCAUGGGAUUGGUAUGCUCAGACAAUAGAUGGCACAUGUUUAACUACCUCUAAGUUAAAUGUACUAUCAUUUUAGUAUUGUAUAGUGUCAUAUUGGUAUUAUGAAUUUGUAAGAAAUAAAAAGUAAGAACCAGCCAAGCAUCAAAUAACCUCUGAGUGCAGGGGCAGAAGACAAUUACCAGCUUCCUCCUAUUAAUUUGCCAAUGUUGUAGUUGUUCCAAGGGACUUUUCCAGCGCCUACCAUUUCUGCCAUUUGGCAAGGCUCCAUCAACAUCCAUGGUAUCAUAUAAGUUCCCAUCAUCGAGGAUCUGCAUUUCAUGAAUAGAUGAUAGGCUUGAGCAGUCAAGUGGCUUGCACAGACCAAAAUCUGAUAGCUUCAUGUGACCGUUUUUGUCCAAUAGAAGGUUGUCAGGUUUUAUAUCUCUGGGGGAACAGGAAGAAGCGUAAGAAAGAAAAUUAUGAUUUAUAACAAGAUUAUAAUUUUAAGAUGUAAAAGUGCCAACCUGUGGAUGUAGUUAUGUUUAUGAAUAGAUUCUAUGGCCAAAACACUCUGGGCAAUGUAAAAUCUAGCCACAGUUUCAGUCAAA